UCACCACCAAGCUCGAUUUCGUGGUGAACUGGGCUCGCCGCAGCUCGCUCUGGCCCAUGCCCUUCGGCACCGCCUGCUGCGCGAUCGAGAUGAUGGCGGCCGCGGCCAGCAACUACGACAUCGCCCGGUUCGGCAUGGAGCGGAUGUCGUUCAGCCCCCGCCAGGCCGACGUGCUGAUCUGCGCGGGUCGGGUGCCGUACAAGCUCGCCCCCGUGCUCCGGCGCAUCUGGGAUCAGAUGCCCCAGCCCAAGUGGUGCAUCUCGAUGGGCGCGUGCGCGAGCUCGGGCGGCGUGUUCGACGCCUACUCGAUGGUG
rnacentral:misc_RNA from 1 species